rnacentral:sRNA from 1 species
UUUUGUCCUACUUUUCACUUUUGGAUUGAAAAAAAA